GAUGAACGCUGGCGGCGUGCCUAAUACAUGCAAGUCGAGCGAACAGACGAGGAGCUUGCUCCUCUGACGUUAGCGGCGGACGGGUGAGUAACACGUGGAUAACCUACCUAUAAGACUGGGAUAACUUCGGGAAACCGGAGCUAAUACCGGAUAAUAUAUUGAACCGCAUGGUUCAAUAGUGAAAGACGGUUUUGCUGUCACUUAUAGAUGGAUCCGCGCCGCAUUAGCUAGUUGGUAAGGUAACGGCUUACCAAGGCAACGAUGCGUAGCCGACCUGAGAGGGUGAUCGGUCACGCUGCAACUGAGACACGGUCCAGACUCCUACGGGAGGCAGCAGUAGGGAAUCUUCCGCAAUGGGCGAAAGCCUGACGGAGCAACGCCGCGUGAGUGAUGAAGGUCUUCGGAUCGUAAAACUCUGUUAUUAGGGAAGAACAAAUGUGUAAGUAACUAUGCACGUCUUGACGGUACCUAAUCAGAAAGCCACGGCUAACUACGUG
rnacentral:rRNA from 1 species